rnacentral:misc_RNA from 2 species
CUGAGUUUACAACUCCCAAACCCCUGUGAACAUACCUUUUGUUGCUUCGGCGGGAUCGCCCCGGUGCCCUGCGCGCCGGAUCAGGCCCCCGCCGCAAGACCUAAAACUCUGUUUUUAUAGUUAUUCUUCUGAGUGGCUUUAAGCAAAAAAUAAAUUA